GUGCUGCACACAGGGCCAUGCCCAACCAGCAGGCUCUCAGAGGACUCUUGAGGUGGAAAUGAAAACAGUAGAUAGCUGUGAUGAAGAGGUCGUUGGUCAUGUUGUCCUCUGUGCACUGCAUGCCCAUCACGCAGAUUUCUCAUCCACUCCGGGAGGUUUGUGCCUCUGUCUGUGUGUCCAGGUAGCAUCUCUGCAGAAUGUCUAAGGAACCCUCCAUCCUCUGAUGCUGAAAUGUAGACUGCCUUCUGGGAGUUGCUGUUUAAAUCAGGAAGAGAGCAUAAAUCCACAAGAGCCUGGUGAUUGGAAAUAUGUCUGUUGCAGAGGGGAGAGCAAAUCUCUAUUGGUGAGGGCAGCAGAAUGAC
rnacentral:lncRNA from 1 species